UGAAGUCAAGUCAGACUAAUAGCGAGUGGGGCUAAAGAAGGAAGUAAGGGGAGUCCGCCUUAUAGACCAGAUAGGUAUACUCAAUAUAGGAAGAAAAGACCCGAUGACCAGGGGAAGGUUGAUAGACUAGAAAACUGUAGCUAUAGACUCAAAAGCACUAGUUUGAUUCUGAUUGAGUUGGGUAGUAUUCCAUUUUUCCAUUCAUGCCUUUCAUUCUCUUACAGCCGGGGUGGAUUCCCGUUCCGAGUUGGGUUCUUUAGCUCUGUUUUCGCUCUUUGACUUAAUAGCUCAAUUCUCUUUGACUUACUUGUUUGAUUCUCUUACAUUCCUUUGGUUCCGAGAAGUACUAGCUUUGUUAUUUAUUAUAUAAGAGAGAGUCCUCGAAGCAGCGUUUUGAGUCUAAUCAGCAGUCGGUUGGAUUGCCGGGGCACUACUCCAUUAAUUAUUGUAAGAUCAAGUCUUUUACUGGGGUUUUAAAGAACGAAAGUCGGGAAAGGCCUACUUCAAACAAGGAGCGGUUACUUUGAGUUAGUAGCGGAGGAGCUAGAUAUGUGGUGGGGUAGAAGAGACUCAGAGGUGAACAUAGGCAUGGAAGGGGCAACUACUGGAGCUCCGGGGCGAAAG
rnacentral:lncRNA from 1 species